UACAGAGGGUGCAAGCGUUAAUCGGAAUUACUGGGCGUAAAGCGCGCGUAGGCGGUUUGUUAAGUUGGAUGUGAAAUCCCCGGGCUCAACCUGGGAACUGCAUUCAAAACUGACAAGCUAGAGUAUGGUAGAGGGUGGUGGAAUUUCCUGUGUAGCGGUGAAAUGCGUAGAUAUAGGAAGGAACACCGGUGGCGAAGGCGGCAUCCUGGACCAAUACUGACACUGAGGAGCGAAAGCCAGGGGAGCAAACGGG
rnacentral:rRNA from 1 species